CAAUAGCGUAUAUUAAAGUUGUUGCGGUUAAAAAGCUCGUAGUUGGAUUUCUGCUGAGGACGAUCGGUCCGCCCUCUGGGUGAGUAUCUGGCUCGGCCUUGGCAUCUUCUUGGAGAACGUUACUGCACUUGACUGUGUGGUGCGGUAUCCAGGACUUUUACUUUGAGGAAAUUAGAGUGUUUCAAGCAGGCGCACGCCUUGAAUACAUUAGCAUGGAAUAAUAAGAUAGGACCUUGGUUCUAUUUUGUUGGUUUCUAGAGCUGAGGUAAUGAUUAAUAGGGAUAGUUGGGGGCAUUCGUAUUUAACUGUCAGAGGUGAAAUCCUUGGAUUUGUUAAAGACGGACUACUGCGAAAGCAUUUGCCAAGGAUGUUUUCAUUGA
rnacentral:rRNA from 1 species